AGGAGGCUUACAGCGGGAGGGUUGAAGGCAGAAGGAGAGGCAGUGAGGAGCUGAGAGAAGAAUGUGGCCAGGGGACUGACCUGAGAACACCUCCCAGGUCUCUGUCUUCACAAUUCUCCCUCAAGAAGGCAUCAACCUUCCCAAGCUGCUCCAUCUACGCUAUCCUCGGCCACAGGAAAUAACCCUGAGCAGGCUCAGAUGAGCACAGACCCCCCAAAUGAGAAAAAUAAGAAGCAGCUCCACCUCCCGCACCCCCAUCAUCAAUCCCAAUGUAUUCACAGUGGCUAUCUGCUGACUCUGAGCUCUGUUGAUGGCACCGUUUCUGGCAAGGUACCCAGACCUUUAGGAAAGAAGGCCAGGAAGAUCCAACUCUAGCACCUGCUCGGUACAGAUGUGUCAAGAGUGCUGAACGCUGAUGUGUAAAUAAAGUACGUGCUGUUUCA